GACGAACGCUGGCGGCGUGCCUAAUACAUGCAAGUAGAACGCUGAAGGAGGAGCUUUCUCUUCUGGAUGAGUUGCGAACGGGUGAGUAACGCGUAGGUAACCUGCCUGGUAGCGUGGGAUAACUAUUGGAAACGAUAGCUAAUACCGCAUAAGAGUAGAUGUUGCAUGACAUUUACUUAAAAGGUGCAAUUGCAUCACUACCAGAUGGACCUGCGUUGUAUUAGCUGGUUGGUGGGGUAACGGCUUACCAAGGCGACGAUACAUAGUCGACCUGAGAGGGUGGUCGGCCACACUGGGACUGAGACACGGCCCAGAGUCCUACGGGAGGCAGCAGUAGGGAAUCUUCGGCAAUGGACGGAAGUCUGACCGAGAAAGGCCGAGGGAGUGAAGAAGGUUGUCGGAUCGUAAAGCUCGGUUGUAAGAGAAGAACGAGUGUGAGAGUGGAAAGUUCACACUGUGACGGUAUCUUACCAGAAAGGGACGGCUAACUACGUG
rnacentral:rRNA from 1 species